AUUGAACGCUGGCGGCAUCGCCUUACACAUGCAAGUCGAACGGCAGCGGACCUUCGGGUGCCGGCGAGUGGCGAACGGUGAGUAAUAUAUCGGAACGUACCUUUCAGGUGGGGGAUAACGUAGCGAAAGUUACGCUAAUACCGCAUAUUCUGUGAGCAGGAAAGCAGGGGAUCGCAAGACCUUGCGCUGAUUGAGCGGCCGAUAUCAGAUUAGCUAGUUGGUGAGGUAAAGGCUCACCAAGGCGACGAUCUGUAGCGGGUCUGAGAGGAUGAUCCGCCACACUGGAACUGAGACACGGCCCAGACUCCUACGGGAGGCAGCAGUGGGGAAUAUUGCGCAAUGGGGGAAACCCUGACGCAGCAACGCCGCGUGUGUGAAGAAGGCCUUCGGGUCGUAAAGCACUGUUGGGAGGAACGAGCCGCUCGUGGGGAAUAUCUGCGAGCCCGACGGUACCUCCUGAGGAAGCACCGGCUAACUCCGUG
rnacentral:rRNA from 1 species